AUGAAACACUCCUACGGGAGGCAGCAGUAGGGAAUCUUCUGCAAUGGGCGAAAGCCUGACGGAGCAACGCCGCGUGAGUGAUGAAGGUCUUCGGAUCGUAAAACUCUGUUAUCAGGGAAGAACAAAUGUGUAAGUAACUGUGCACAUCUUGACGGUACCUGAUCAGAAAGCCACGGCUAACUACGUGCCAGCAGCCGCGGUAAUACGUAGGUGGCAAGCGUUAUCCGGAAUUAUUGGGCGUAAAGCGCGUGUAGGCGGUUUUUUAAGUCUGAUGUGAAAGCCCACGGCUCAACCGUGGAGGGUCAUUGGAAGCUGGAAAACUUGAGUGCAGAAGAGGAAAGUGGAAUUCCAUGUGUAGCGGUGAAAUGCGCAGAGAUAUGGAGGAACACCAGUGGCGAAGGCGACUUUCUGGUCUGUAACUGACGCUGAUGUGCGAAAGCGUGGGGAUCAAACGGGAUUAGAAACCCUUGUAGUCCGAAGUUC
rnacentral:rRNA from 1 species